GUGAGGAAAGCCACUUUUCCAAAGUUCCAAAGGCGAGACAUGGAUGCUGCUCUCCUAAUCCUAAGUCCAGAGGAGAAAACUGGGCUAACUCUGUAUAUGGGGUUAUCCGCAGCGGGCUUCCAGAGGCUCCCCAGCUAAAGAUGAAAGGAGACAACUUCCCUGCCCAAGGUCCUGGACCCAGGGAACCAGGCAAGAUUUGAUGCCAGCAGGGAAGAGGGGACCCCUCCACCACCCGGAUAUGGGAAAGUUGCUCCAGCUGCCAGGCCAGGCCAUUCUGGAUCAAGGAACAAAAAUUGUAUUUACGCUCCUGGCAAGCAGCUGAUUUUCCUGAUCGCCCACCCGGCUGCACACGGCUCCACAGCGUCGGGUGGGGAGCGACUCCUUGUCCCUGAGACUGUGAACCGCAGAGAGAGGCCGUCUGGGGCCGGGAACCCCCUGCCCCCCACAAGCCCUCCUGGCCUCCCUCCGGCCUCCUGUCCCUGCUUCUCUCCCGUCACUUGCUCUUCCCGGCACCGGGUCUCCAGUGUCUUUGCCUGCCCUGUCCCCACCGACUCCUGGCGUGCCCCCCGGGAGGCCACUUAGCGGUACAGACAAGCUCACUGCCCGAGCCCUGGGUCAGCCCUGACCUGCAGCAGCAGAGGAUGAUGGCUCCAGCCCCACCCCUGGGACUCCUCACCGAUUCCUGAACCAUAAGCUUCAUCUGCUGGGCCAGACAUCUUGUAUUUGCUAUCACCGCUCUCCCCCGCCCCCCAACCCAGCCCUCCCUGCAUUCAGCAGGUGCUCACUGAGCUCCUGCCCUGCAUCUGACAAUGCUCCGGCAUCUGGGAUACAGCAGAAAACAAAGCAGACAAAGUCGCUGCCUUCUUGCUGCUGAUAUUUCCUCGAAAGAGACAGACGAGAGGCACCUGGGUGGCUCAGUUAGUUAAGCAUCUGCCUUUGUCUCAGGUUAUGAUCCCAGGGUCCUGGGAUUGAACCCCUCAUAGGGCACCCUGCUCAGCAAGGAGCUGGCUUCUCCCUCUCUCUCUGCUACUCCCCUGGCUUAUUCUCUCUCUCUGUGUGUGUCAAAUAAAUACAUAAAAUCUUUUUUAAAAAACCA
rnacentral:lncRNA from 12 species